CAACAUAAUAGUUUGAUUUUGUAUAUAUUGCAAAAUGUUCAUCACAAUAGUUCAAUUAACAUUCAUCACCACACAUGGUUACAAAUUUUUUUUCUUGUCAUGAGAACUUUUAAGAUCUACCUUGUUAGCAACUUUCAAAUAUACAAUACAGUAUUAUUAAUUGUAGUCACCCUUCUGUUCCUUACGUCCCAGGACUUAUUUUUUUAUAACUGGACGUUUGUACCUUUUGACCCCAUUCACCCAUUUUGCCCACCUCCUACCCCCUGCCUCUGGCAACUGCCAAUCUGUUCUUUGUAUCUACGAGCUCACUUUUUUUUUAGAUCUCACAUACAAGUGAGAUCAUAUAGUAUCUGUCUCACUUAUUUCACUUAGCAUAAUGCCCUCAAGGUCCAUUCAUGUUGUUAUGAAUUGCAAGAUUUCUAAGGAUUACUUCUUGACAUAGAAUUUGACAGAAUAUCCCAAAGUCUAAUGAAGGUGACAGAACUCCUCAAAUUGUUAAGAAGGCCAAAUAGUGUUCACUGUUUGCCUUCCCCUCAGGAUGUCCACAUUUUGGACCUUAGACCUUGGGUAAAUUCAAAGAAGCUUACUUAAGGAGUUACUUUAUGGGCUCUGGCAACUUCAUAUCAUUUACUGUCUUUGAAUCACAAAAUCGAGACCAUACAAUCACUCUGGCAGCACACAUCUUGCAUUUUACUAUUGUACAGCCCAAACUUCAGUUUGAAAGGUUUGCCUGGGAAACACACAGACCCUAGUUGAUAUCUCAAAAAAAAUCAGACUGCUGAGUAUACUAACUCUGGUAUCUAAAUAUACCUAACCAUAUUACAAAUCUACAUAUAAUAAGAUUUAUGUGCCUAACACAGUAUAUCUAAAUCUACUAAAAUAUAGAAUCUAAGAAGGGUUACAAUAUUGAUCUUUCCAGUACUUUAAGCUCUCUUUUACAUGUUUGGCAAAUAGAAGAACUUCAAGAACUUAGCCAUAAUCAUUUCCUUAGGUUUUUGUUUGUUCAUCUGUUUUGUGUUUUACUUGUUAAUUACUGCCAACCCAGGAUCAAUAACCUCUAUUUGGUAUACAUUUAUCUCCAAAAAAAAAUGCCAUUUACUUCUAAAGCUUGAUUCUUUCUCUAUGACCCACUCAUCAUAGCUCCAAUAUGACCUAGUUCCUGAGCCCGGAGUCACUUUUUCAACUGUCUUCUAUAGAUCUUGGUUUGGACUUCUCACCUGCACCUUAAUGCUCUUAAUCUAGAAUAGUACAUUGAAUUCUCCAUCCCAAGAGCUUUGUCACUGAAUCCCUAUGCAUUCUUGUCAUCAUCAUCCAGGUCACUCACCAUCAAAGUCUGGGAAAUAUAUUUGAUUUAUGCCUCUUUCUUGGCACCUUUAUUAUAAUCAAUAGUUAAAAUCAGGUAAAUCUGAAGUUCCCAGGACCUCUGGCUUCCACUUCCACCAUUGCUGUCCGAUUUUAUGCCUUUAUUUCUUCUUUCCUGGGAUAUUGUAUUCCAGCAAGUGUCCUGACUGUUUUUCUCUCGUUGUAUUUCAUUCUUCAAGUUGUUACCACAUUAUUCUACCUAGUAUAUACUCAAUCCCAUCAUAUUUUUAAAAUUAUCUUGCAUGCAUUUCCGUCUCCACCCACCACAUCAAAUUUAGGAUACACUCUCACCUUGGCACACAAUGUUCUUCACAUUUGUUUUUCAUGUAUUCAUUGUUUCAACAAGAUUACUGAGCAUCUCCUCAAUGCCAGCCCUGUUCUACACAUCAUUGAACACAGUAAACAAACAUUCCUGCCUUUAAAGAUUUUGCAUUCUAGAAGAGGGGCCAAAAAUUAAGCAUAAUGAAUAAGUAAAUUAUUAAGCAUGCCAAAAUGUGAUUGUUCUAAAGAGAAUUCAUAGUUUAGAGUGAAGAGGCACCAAAUUACCAUCUCAGUUACGCCAGCCAUAAUGGCCUUCACUGCAAAGGUGACAUUUGAGCAAAGUGUUGAAGGAGAAAAGGGAAUGAGCAACAUGUAGUGUAGGGGAAGAGCAUUGUGGGUCAAGGGGAUGGUCAACCAUACUGCCCUGAUAGAGAGUUAAGUUACUUACAUGAUGCCCCAUUACCUUAAAUACUUUAGUUGUUCGUACAAGUAGGGACAUAAUCACAACAUAGUAAAUUACCAUCAAAGUCGGACGUUAACUUGUUAGAUUUCUACCAUGCAAUCCAUAGAACCAGUUCAAGUACUGGUAGUUGUCCCACUGAUGUCUUUCAUAAGAAAACAAUCAAAUCCAGGAUGAAGUAUUGCAUUUAGUGUUAUGUCUUUUCAGAUUCCUUCAAUCUGGAAUAGUUCCUAAAUCUUUCUUUAACUUCUAUUACCUUGACACUUGUGAAUAUUAAAGACCAUUUUCUAGAAUGUCUGUCAAUUUGAACGUCAGUUUCUUUGUGGUUAUAUUCAGUUUAUGGACCUUCAGCAGAAACAUCACAGAAGUGAUGCUAUAUCCUUCUCAUUGCAUCCUCUCAGGUGGUGCAUGAUUUCUAUUUGUCCCAUUACUGAUGUCCACAUCGAUCUCUUGACUAAGGUGUGUUGUAGUUUGAAUUGUAAUCCCCAAAAAGAUAUGCUGAAAUCUUAACCCCUGGUGCCGGCGAGUGUGACCUUAUUUGGAAAUAAGGUCCUUGCUCGUGUAAUCAAGUUAAGAUGAAGUCAUGCUGGAUUAGCAUGGGCCCUAAAUACAAUGGCUGGUGUUCUUAAAAGAAAAGAGAAAUUUGAAGACACAAACACAAAGGCAAGAGGCCACAGGAUGACAGAAACAGAGACUGGAGUGAUGUGUCUACAAGUCAGGGGACACUGAGGAUUGCCAGUAACCACCAGAAGCUGGAAGUGGCAUGGAAAGAUCCUCCCCUAGAGUAUUCAGAGGGAGCCUGGCACUGCCAACCCCCCGACUUUAGACUUCUAGCCUCCAGAGCUGUGAGAGAAUAAAUUGUGUAAUUUUAACCACUCAGUUUGCAGUAAUCAGAUACUGCAGCCCUAGGAAACUAAUACAAGGUAAUAUCUGCCAGAUUUCUGUAAAAUAAAGUUAUUCUUUUUUCCUUUAUAAUAAAUAAAUUUUUUUGAGAGGGAUCUUUUGAGAUUAAGUAAGAAAGUCCCUUAUAAAACUUUCACCCACUAGUUUUUAGCAUCUAUUGAUGCUUCUUGACUUAGUUAUUGCUAUUGUGAUUGCCAAAUGGUGAUUUUUCUAAUGGCAUCAUUCCUUCUAUGUACAUUAGUUGACAUUCUACUCUAAGGAAGAGACUAUUUUCUCCAGUUACUUAUUUAUAUUUUUAUACCUGUAUAGAUUCAUUAAUCAAGGGCUUGUGAGUUACUAUUAUCAUUUAUGUUGAUGCUCAAAUUAUCUCAGACAUGGUCAGCAGAAGAAUAGCUUCCAGCUGGCUCCUGUGCCUUUUGACAUAUUCCAUGAUUCUUUGACAAGACAAAACAUUUCAGGUCCACAUUGUAUUUUUCUUCCCCCUGCCCCAGCCUUGGAAUCAGCCAUUUCUACAAGAGCCCCUGUUCCUUUUAGUGAGAAUGAUAUUUAGAAACCAAGAUGUAGAUGCUAGAUGUGCCCAUUGCUGUGGAAGUGUUGCUGCAUGUAGGCCCUCUGAGGGAACACUGUUAGGGAACACAUAUACAUAAAUAGCAUACAUAUACCAUUGAAACCUAUAUUUAUUUCUACGUCUAUUUAUAUACAUAUUGAAAACCAUAAUUCAUAUUGUGUACCUCCAAUUUUAGUCCAGCACCAUAGCAUUUAUUUUAAUUAAACUUUUUAAAAAGUUUUUGGUUCCUUUCCACACUCUCUUCUUUGACAGUAGGAUACAUGGCUUCUAAUGUCUUCCACGUAUUUUCUUAUUUAUUUAAAAGCUUGUAUUUAACCAAUCUCUUUCACUGCUUCCACCCCCAAAACUCUUCCACAUCUCACAUGGAUGCCCUCUUACAAAAUCUGGACAGGCUGCUGCUCCUCCUCUGUGUAGAUGCCCUCCACAGGCUUGAAGACCUUUGAUGGGCCACAGCAGUAUCACUGUGGGAAGCCUUCUUCAGCCCAUUCCAGCUCUCUAUGAAUCUUGAACUGUGUGGACACCACCUUCACCUUAUCUUGACUCUUGGAGCCUUUCCAGGUUGUGACCACAUCCCCUCCUUGCUGGGAUACCUUCUUCGACCCACUUAGGCUCUGACAACUAGUUCCCGGCUGGAAGGAAGGAGGGAAAGGAGGAAGGAAGGAAGGCAGGAAGGGAGGAAAGGAGGAAGGGAUUAAGAGAGCAAGGAAGGAAGGAAAGCAUUCAUACUGUGUCUCAUCAUUUUUCAAUUGAUUCUCUUAGAAUUUUCAAUUAGAUUAUAAUAAUAUAUGCAAACAAUGGAUUUUUCUACUGACUUUGUAAUAUUUCAUCAAAUUGCACUUCUAGGAAAAUUUUGAAUAAUAUGAAGACAAUAUAUCUUUGCUUACUUAAUUGGAAAUAUUUC
rnacentral:lncRNA from 1 species